GACGAACGCUGGCGGCGUGCUUAACACAUGCAAGUCGAACGAUGAAGCCGGAGCUUGCUCUGGUGAAUUAGUGGCGAACGGGUGAGUAACACGUGAGUAACCUGCCCUUGACUCUGGGAUAACUGCGGGAAACUGUAGCUAAUGCCGGAUACGACCCUCGGAGGCAUCUCCUGGGGGUGGAAAGAAUUUCGGUCAAGGAUGGACUCGCGGUCUAUCAGCUAGUUGGUGAGGUAAAGGCUCACCAAGGCGACGACGGGUAGCCGGCCUGAGAGGGGGACCGGCCACACUGGGACUGAGGCACGGCCCAGACUCCUACGGGAGGCAGCAGUGGGGAAUAUUGCACAAUGGGCGCAAGCCUGAUGCAGCAACGCCGCGUGAGGGAUGACGGCCUUCGGGUUGUAAACCUCUUUUAGCAGGGAAGAAGCGAAAGUGACGGUACCUGCAGAAAAAGCACCGGCUAACUACGUGCCAGCAGCCGCCGCAG
rnacentral:rRNA from 1 species